rnacentral:rRNA from 2 species
ACUCCUACGGGAGGCAGCAGUGGGGAAUUUUCCGCAAUGGGCGCAAGCCUGACGGAGCAACGCCGCGUGAGGGAUGAAGGCCUCUGGGCUGUAAACCUCUUUUAUCAAGGAAGAAGAUCUGACGGUACUUGAUGAAUAAGCCACGGCUAAUUCCGUGCCAGCAGCCGCGGUAAU